rnacentral:lncRNA from 1 species
GCCGGGUGUGGUGGCGCACGCCUUUAAUCCCAGCACUCCGGAGGCAGAGACAGGCAGAUUUCUGAGUUCGAGGCCAGCCUGGUCUACAAAGUGAGUUCCAGGACAGCUAGGACUACACAGAGAAACCCUGUCUCGAAAAACCAAAAAAAAGGGGGGUAAGCCCAAGACUUAUCAUGCUUGUUUGGUUUUGGUUUUUUGAGUCCUGGAACUCACUCUGUAGACCAGGCUGGCCUCAAACUCAGAAAUCUGCCUGACU